GUGGGCAGGGUUGGUGGAGCGCAAGUGAGCUGAACUUCUUGAGCUCUUCUUAUGAACCUUUUUCUUUUUAAGUUACUUUAUUAAGAAAGUAUUUAAUUAAUAAAAGAAAAAAAAAAAAGCAGCAGGUCUUCAGGCGGGUCUGACCACUUAGCGAUCGGAAACGUUUUUCCCCCUGCUCUUAAUUGAUGCUGUUUCAUGGAAAACUUGAGUGGGUGUUUUUUGCUCACUCCCGUCGCUGAGUUUCUGAAGGCAGGUAAGCCACUGACUAACGCACACUGCGCCUGUUCCCCGCUCCACUGUGCGUGUGACAGCGGCUAACCAGCUUUUGGAUAUACCUCUAUCUCUCUCAGAAAGACUGGAGACAUGGUUUUUAAUGCCUCUCACCGGAAGCCAGCUUCUCCUUUAUUUGGGGGUAUUUCUUCUCACCCUCCGUUACUGUAGUAGAGCGCCUACGUGCUCCAGGUCACAUGUACACCAUCUCCAUUCCUACUGUUUCAUCUCUGCUCCUCCAUCAGCUCACUCAUGUGUACAUGGCAAUCCUAAUCCCUUUACUACUCUCUCUGUGACCAAAGUAUAGUCUAGAAGUUAGAGGAAUAUGCUUUAUGAAUCAUUUUAUUUGUAGAUGCCAUAUCUGAAUACAGUAUUAUCGCCACCAUGCAUUACUACAAUAGUGUAUGUCCAGUAGUUAUAACCUACACGUGACCUUACUUUAAUACUACAGUAGUAUAGCCUAUAUUUGACCGGCUGCUUUUAGCAUUUGACUUAGUUUAUCCUGUAUGCAAUGAUCGUUUACUGUAGUAUUAAAGUGGUGUGACCAUACGUUAUUGCGGUAUAAUAAGUCUUAUCCGGAGGCGACCGGCGUUCCAACUAAGCAGAAGCCACACCUGAGCGUAUUGAAAGCCAAGAUCAACUGAUUAAACAGGUGUAGCUCCUGCGUCAGCCCUUCGUGGCCCUUCCCGGGAAAAGUGUGCGAGACCGUACAGUUAUUACAGUCAUUUAGACUAUAUGUGACCCUAAAUUGUUGCGCCACACCCUGCUAAAGUAGUCUAGAUCUAUAUGUGACUCUACGUUGUUACCGUAGUAUAAACUAGACUUUAGAUCAUUCCAGUAUAGAUCUGGCCACACCCUUCUAUAGUAGUCUAGUGUGACUAUAGUCUAUAGUGAGUAAUAAGAGAGAGAUGUAAGGAGCGUAAGUAUGAGUGAGUCAGAGUUGAAGUUGUCUUACAGUAGACUAGUUUAAGCUUGGCCCUAUGAUAAAUAAAUAUCUCUAUUUAUGGUAGUGUAUAUACUAUCCAUGGCCAUAAGUGACUAUAGUCUAUAAGUCUAUAGCUGAACUAGAACUUUUAUUGUGCUUGUAAAGUACUUUAUUAAAGGUUUAUAGCUUGUGUAUUGGGUCAUCUAAACAAUCCAAUAGUAUAGCCAUUAUGAAUUGGCUUACAUGUAAAUAGUUUAUUCUGUUUAAGGGUAGCUUAACUCAUUUUGAUUAAGUUAAGAUAUGAUCUGCUGUUUGACUGUAUAAUAAAUGUGAACGAACUUUGUGUCA